rnacentral:rRNA from 1 species
ACGCUGGCGGCGUGCCUAACACAUGCAAGUCGAGCGAGGAGAUUCCUUCGGGAUGAUCCUAGCGGCGGACGGGUGAGUAACACGUGGGCAACCUGCCUCAUAGAGAGGAAUAGCCUUCCGAAAGGGAGAUUAAUACCUCAUAACAUUGCAGUUUCGCAUGGAACAGCAAUUAAAGGAGUAAUCCGCUAUGAGAUGGGCCCGCGGCGCAUUAGCUAGUUGGUGAGGUAACGGCUCACCAAGGCGACGAUGCGUAGCCGACCUGAGAGGGUGAUCGGCCACAUUGGGACUGAGACACGGCCCAGACUCCUACGGGAGGCAGCAGUGGGGAAUAUUGCACAAUGGGGGAAACCCUGAUGCAAGCAACGCCGCGUGAGUGAUGACGGCCUUCGGGUUGUAAAGCUCUGUCUUCAGGGACGAUAAUGACGGUACCUGAGGAGGAAGCCACGGCUAACUACGUGCCAGCCGCAGC